UACCUACUUACCUAUACUUACUCAAACAGCAGAUGAUUCAACUCAUUCACCAACAUACAGAUGCGUAAUAUGACGGAACAUCGAAGCCGAAGCCCACUUCAUUAUCAAUUAGGUCGUAAAAUACUAUGCAUACUAAAGCCAGUCCCCGUAGCGUCAACAUUCCGUCACCCAGAUAAGGUGGCUAGAGGUAGUGUCAGCCAACACCCGCAGUUAAAAUCCAACCUGUGGAGCGAUAGGUCGACUUUGAUUCGUGUUGUGAUUUUGUAACCGUCCAGCAACGAAAACCGGGACUCACGGACUUCCUCCUGUCAGUAAUACAGUUCCCGAAAUAUUGCGCGCAGGCUAUGAUGGACGGAAAAGGCUUUAAUUAAUCUUAGAAUUAGACAAUUAAUUUAUUUUCCAAUAUCACUUUGUGCCAUAAGUCUUAAAUGUUUCAGUUUUUUUGUUAAUAUUUUUUAAUUUACAUCUGUUU